rfam:Ailuropoda melanoleuca scaffold634_92, whole genome shotgun sequence.
GCAGCCCCAUGAUGGCUGGAUCUGAAAUCCUAGAUGGGUCCAGCUUGAUGUCUUUGCAGC